rnacentral:rRNA from 1 species
GAACGCUGGCGGCAGGCCUAACACAUGCAAGUCGAGCGGUAGAGAGAAGCUUGCUUCUCUUGAGAGCGGCGGACGGGUGAGUAAUGCCUAGGAAUCUGCCUGGUAGUGGGGGAUAACGUUCGGAAACGGACGCUAAUACCGCAUACGUCCUACGGGAGAAAGCAGGGGACCUUCGGGCCUUGCGCUAUCAGAUGAGCCUAGGUCGGAUUAGCUAGUUGGUGAGGUAAUGGCUCACCAAGGCGACGAUCCGUAACUGGUCUGAGAGGAUGAUCAGUCACACUGGAACUGAGACACGGUCCAGACUCCUACGGGAGGCAGCAGUGGGGAAUAUUGGACAAUGGGCGAAAGCCUGAUCCAGCCAUGCCGCGUGUGUGAAGAAGGUCUUCGGAUUGUAAAGCACUUUAAGUUGGGAGGAAGGGCAGUUACCUAAUACGUGAUUGUUUUGACGUUACCGACAGAAUAAGCACCGGCUAACUCUGUGCCAGCAGCCGCGGUAAUACAGAGGGUGCAAGCGUUAAUCGGAAUUACUGGGCGUAAAGCGCACGUAGGUGGUUAGUUAGGUUGGAUGUGAAAUCCCUGGGCUCAACCUGGGAACU